rnacentral:tRNA from 2 species
GGAGAGGUGGCAGAGUGGUCGAAUGUACUUGACUCGAAAUCAAGCGAUGGUGCAAAUCAUCCGUGGGUUCGAAUCCCACCCUCUCCGCCA